AGGAUUAUAUCAUUUUCCUCUUUUUAAAAAGAAUUUGUACUCAAAUAUGGCAUCCCUCUUGAACAUAUGAUCAGUCCACAAAUCUGACUCUACAUCCACUACUAAAAAUUCGACCUAUAACGACGUUCAAGACAGAACCAUCAUAAGGGUGUCUAUAGCGACGGUUAAAGGUUGACCGACGGUAUAUGUAUUUAAAGAUAGUUUAUUCGAAGGGUCAUAAUCUGGUCACCGGGAUAGAGCUUUUUUUGGGGACUUUCAUCUAUAAGCGGGCGCACAAAUCCCUCGCAUUUUCCCCCAAAUUCGUAUCAACAUUUUUCCCCCAAGUCAAGUUUUUUUACAAUCAACUCUCACUCGCUCGAUCACUCAAUUGGUCACCUUCUUAAUCGAUCGUUCUCAUCUGCUUUCCUUCUCACUCAAUCGUUCUCAUUUGCACACCUUCUCACUCGAUCGUAGGCCGUAGGUAUCGCACGCCACUUUUCUAUCCAAUUUCCNNNN
rnacentral:lncRNA from 1 species